AACGAACGCUGGCGGCAUGCUUUACACAUGCAAGUCGAACGGCAGCGGGGCUUCGGCCCGCCGGCGAGUGGCGAACGGGUGAGUAAUGCAUCGGAACGUGCCCAGUCGUGGGGGAUAACACAUCGAAAGAUGUGCUAAUACCGCAUACGUCCUGAGGGAGAAAGCGGGGGAUCUUCGGACCUCGCGCGAUUGGAGCGGCCGAUGUCGGAUUAGCUAGUUGGUGGGGUAAAACGCCCACCAAGGCGACGAUCCGUAGCGGGUCUGAGAGGAUGAUCCGCCACACUGGGACUGAGACACGGCCCAGACUCCUACGGGAGGCAGCAGUGAGGAAUAUUGGUCAAUGGACGCAAGUCUGAACCAGCCACGUCGCGUGAGGGAAAAGGAUUUCCGGUUUGUAAACCUCUGUCAUUGGUGACGAUAAUGACGGUAGCCAAAUGAGGAAGCUCCCGGCUAACUAUGUGCCAGCAG
rnacentral:rRNA from 1 species